rnacentral:rRNA from 1 species
AUUGAACGCUGGCGGCAGGCCUAACACAUGCAAGUCGAGCGAGCGGCGGACGGGUGAGUAAUGUCUGGGAAACUGCCUGAUGGAGGGGGAUAACUACUGGAAACGGUAGCUAAUACCGCAUACCAUCGGAUGUGCCCAGAUGGGAUUAGCUUGUUGGUGGGGUAACUGCUCACCAAGGCGACGAUCCCUAGCUGGUCUGAGAGGAUGACCAGCCACACUGGAACUUGGACACGGUCCAGACUCAUACGGGAGGGAGCAGUGGGUAAUAUUGCACAAUGGGCGCAAGCCUGGUGCAGCCAUGCCGCGUGUAUGAAGAAGGCCUUCGGGUUGUAAAGUACGUUCAGCGGGGAGGCGUUACCCGCAGAAGAAGCACCGGCUAACUCCGUGCCAGCAGCCGCGGUAAUUC